rnacentral:tRNA from 1 species
GGAGGGAUACCCAAGUGGCUAAAGGGGGCAGACUGUAAAUCUGUUGGCGCGGCCUUCGAUGGUUCGAAUCCAUCUCCCUCCACCA